rnacentral:rRNA from 1 species
GACGAACGCUGGCUGCGUGCUUAACACAUGCAAGUCGAACGGAAAGGCCCUGCUUUUGUGGGGUGCUCGAGUGGCGAACGGGUGAGUAACACGUGAGUAACCUGCCCUUGACUUUGGGAUAACUUCAGGAAACUGGGGCUAAUACCGGAUAGGAGCUCCUGCUGCAUGGUGGGGGUUGGAAAGUUUCGGCGGUUGGGGAUGGACUCGCGGCUUAUCAGCUUGUUGGUGGGGUAGUGGCUUACCAAGGCUUUGACGGGUAGCCGGCCUGAGAGGGUGACCGGCCACAUUGGGACUGAGAUACGGCCCAGACUCCUACGGGAGGCAGCAGUGGGGAAUAUUGCACAAUGGGCGGAAGCCUGAUGCAGCAACGCCGCGUGCGGGAUGACGGCCUUCGGGUUGUAAACCGCUUUCGCCUGUGACGAAGCGUGAGUGACGGUAAUGGGUAAAGAAGCACCGGCUAACUACGUGCCAGCAGCCGCGGUGAUACGUAGGGUGCGAGCGUUGUCCGGAUUUAUUGGGCGUAAAGGGCUCGUAGGUGGUUGAUCGCGUCGGAAGUGUAAUCUUGGGGCUUAACCCUGAGCGUGCUUUCGAUACGGGCUGACUUGAGGAAGGUAGGGGAGAAUGGAAUUCCUGGUGGAGCGGUGGAAUGCGCAGAUAUCAGGAGGAACACCAGUGGCGAAGGCGGUUCUCUGGGCCUUUCCUGACGCUGAGGAGCGAAAGCGUGGGGAGCGAACAGGCCUAGAUACCCUGGUAGUCCACGCUGUAAACGGUGGGUACUAGGUGUGGGGUCCAUUCCACGGGUUCCGUGCCGUAGCUAACGCUUUAAGUACCCCGCCUGGGGAGUACGGCCGCAAGGCUAAAACUCAAAGGAAUUGACGGGGCCCCGCACAAGCGGCGGAGCAUGCGGAUUAAUUCGAUGCAACGCGUAGAACCUUACCUGGGUUUGACAUGGAUCGGGAGUGCUCAGAGAUGGGUGUGCCUCUUUUGGGGUCGGUUCACAGGUGGUGCAUGGCUGUCGUCAGCUCGUGUCGUGAGAUGUUGGGUUAAGUCCCGCAACGAGCGCAACCCUUGUUCACUGUUGCCAGCACGUUAUGGUGGGGACUCAGUGGAGACCGCCGGGGUCAACUCGGAGGAAGGUGGGGAUGACGUCAAGUCAUCAUGCCCCUUAUGUCCAGGGCUUCACGCAUGCUACAAUGGCUGGUACAGAGAGUGGCGAGCCUGUGAGGGUGAGCGAAUCUCGGAAAGCCGGUCUCAGUUCGGAUUGGGGUCUGCAACUCGACCUCAUGAAGUCGGAGUCGCUAGUAAUCGCAGAUCAGCAACGCUGCGGUGAAUACGUUCCCGGG